AUGGCUCCUGUACCUGUAGGGACUCUCAGUUCAUCACUCUUCACAGCCACCGUCCUCCUCACUUUCUUGACCUCUUUUGCCCCUUCUUCUUCAUUAGAUGGCACCCUGCUGGGUGAUGAAUCUGGUAAGGACUUCCAGGCACUCCUUUGUCUCAAGAACCACCUUUCUAACAAUACCGAAGUCCUCGCCUCGUGGAACAAUACCCUCCAGUAUUACAGUUGGCCUGGUGUCACCUGUGGCAAGAAGCACGCAUCUCGUGUCACAGCACUUGACCUUGAAUCGCUAGGCCUGAAUGGCCAGAUACCACCCUGCAUUGGUAAUCUCACUUUCCUCGCAAGAAUCAACCUCCAGGAUAACCUGCUGAAUGGUGGGAUCCCGCCUGAGGUAGGUCAUCUGCGUCACCUUGCUCAGCUCUCCCUUCCAAAUAACAAUCUUGCUGGCGUAAUACCGAACUCUCUUUCUACCUGUUCUAGCCUUCAGACUAUUGAUCUCGGAAGUAACUCCCUCCAGGGGGAGAUACCUCUAGGUUUGACCAACUGUUUAAAUCUCACAGACAUCUUACUCGAUAACAAGCUCAAUGGAAGCAUUCCAGAUGGGUUCGGCAUGCUUCCUAAGCUUUAUGCUCUGUACGUUCCUGGCAACAAGUUGACGGGCAGUAUUCCUUACUCACUUGGAAGCAGCCCAUCACUCUACUUUGUUGUGCUGGCAAACAACAGCCUAACUGGGGGCAUCCCGCCUCUCUUAGCAAAUAGUUCAUCACUUGGAUGGCUGGAAUUGGGAAGCAAUGACCUCGAUGGAGAGGUACCUCCUUCUCUCUUCAACAGCUCAUCUCUUGAAAUCAUAAUAUUAAACGGAAAUAAUUUCUUUGGAUCAAUUCCACCUUUCUCACCCACCUCGCCAUUGCAAACUCUGUCCCUAUCAUUCAAUAAUAUCACAGGAAAAAUACCUUCCUCUGUUGGGAACUCUUCUUCCCUUCUUGAGCUUUUGCUUGCAGGGAAUCACUUGCAAGGCAACAUUCCAUGGAGUUUAAGUAAAAUCCCAUGCUUGGAAAAAUUAGAUCUGACUAACAACAACUUAUCAGGAGUCGUUCCAGGCUCUCUCUAUGAUAUAUCGACACUCAAAUACCUUGGCAUGGGCAAUAACAUCUUAACAGGAGAAAUUCCAGAAAAUAUUGGCCACACCCUUCCAAACAUCCAGGCAUUCAUUGUUCAGGGAAACAGAUUCGGAGGUCGUAUUCCCACUUCAAUGGCUGAGACCACAAAUCUUCAGAGAAUUAAUCUCCGUGACAAUGCAUUCCAUGGUAUUGUUCCUUAUUUUGGGUCUUUGCCCGACUUAACUGAACUAGAUCUAGGCAAGAACCAACUCGAAGCUGGAGACUGGACUUUCCUCCACUCGCUCGCCAGUUGUACAAAGCUGGCUAUUUUACGCUUAGACGCGAACAACCUACAAGGUGAACUGCCAAAGUCCAUAGGCAAUCUUCCAAAAAGCUUAGAAUCUCUAUUGUUGACAGCGAAUAAAAUAUCUGGCACCAUACCACAUGAGAUAGGGAACCUUAGUAGCCUCAAACUUCUUUACAUGGAGCACAAUCUGCUUACUGGAACCCUUCCUGACUCACUUGGAAACCUUUCAAACUUGUUCGUUCUAAGCUUAUCAGGAAACAAGCUAUCUGGCCAAAUCCCACUUUCAAUUCAUAACCUCGGCCAACUAAGUGAGCUCUAUUUGCAUCAAAAUAAUUUGAGUGGACCCAUCCCAGUAGCUUUAGCAGAGUGCAAUAAGUUACACACCCUAAACCUCUCUUGCAACUCAUUUGAUGGAACAAUACCAAAAGAACUAUUUACUGUUUCCACACUUUCUGAAGGUCUUGAUCUCUCUCGCAACAAACUCUCUGGGCAUAUACCAGUGGAGAUUGGCAAAUUAAUCAACCUUUCCCCCCUCGAUAUUUCCAACAACCUGUUGAUUGGAGAAAUUCCCUCAACUCUAGGCGAGUGCCUCCAUUUAGAGUCCCUCCACCUGGAAGGGAAUCUACUUGAUGGGCGAAUCCCUCAAUCUUUCGCUGCAUUGAAAGGCAUCAGUGACAUGGACCUUUCUCGAAACAACUUGUCUGGUCAAGUUCCAGACUUCUUUGAGGCUUUCAGCUCCAUGUCACUUCUCAAUUUGUCAUUCAACAACCUGGAGGGGCCCAUGCCAACUGGUGGGAUCUUCCAAAAUGCAAGCAAGGUGUUCGUCCAAGGGAACAAAGAGUUGUGUGCUGUCUCGCCACUAUUGAGUUUGCCACUUUGCCACACAGCUGCCUCUCAACAAAGGCAUAGAUCCAACAUUGCGAAUAUAGUAGGACUUUCUGUUCUUGCCUUAGUGAUGUUAUCAUGUUUUGGAGUCAUUUUCUUGAAGAAGAGAAAGAAAGUCAAACAAGAAGAUUAUCCAUCCUUUGAGGAGUUAAAGAAGUUCACAUAUGCUGACUUAGUGAAAGCAACAAAUGGUUUCUCAUUAGCCAACUUGGUUGGUUCAGGAAAGUAUGGGUCCGUAUACAAAGGUAGAAUUGAGUCUGAAGAAGAUGCAGUUGCUAUCAAAGUUUUCAAACUUGAUCAGCCUGGGGCGACGAAAAGCUUCGUUGCUGAAUGUCAGGCACUCAAAAACACUCGUCAUCGUAAUCUUGUAAGGGUGAUCACUGUAUGCUCGACGAGUGAUCUGACAGGACAUGAGUUCAAAGCUCUUCUCCUUGAAUAUAUGGUUAAUGGCAACCUUGAAAGUUGGCUCCAUCCAACACUCCACGAGCAACAUCUGAAAAGGCCCUUGUCCUUGAGUUCAAGAAUAGCAAUAGCAGUGGACAUAGCAGCUGCUUUGGAUUACCUGCAUAACCAAUGCAUGCCUCCUAUGACACACUGUGAUCUGAAGCCAAGCAAUGUCCUUCUGGAUGAUGUCAUGGGCGCAUGUGUUGGUGACUUCGGGUUGACUAAGUUCAUACACAGUUAUACUUCAAGGAUUGAUGGUUCUACAAGCUUAGUUGGACCAAGAGGAUCAGUUGGAUACAUUGCACCAGAAUAUGGCUUUGGGAGCAAAAUCUCCACUGAGGGUGAUGUUUACAGCUUUGGAAUCAUCGUCUUAGAAAUGCUCACAGGGAAGCGUCCAACUGAUGAGAUGUUUAAAGAUGGCCUGAGCCUUUACAAUUUUGUGGAAAAAUCAUUUCCUAAAAAGAUUGGUGAGAUUCUAGAUCCGAGAAUCAUUCCUUAUUAUGGGGACCAAGAUGAAGAAGCAGCAAGUAGUCCAAACCAAGAAAAUCAUCAGCAAAUGGCUGGAAUGAGCUGUAUCAUCGAGCUCGUUAAGAUUGGCCUCAUGUGCACUGCGGAGACACCCAAAUAUCGCCCCUCGAUGCAGGACGUUUACAUUGAGGUCACCGCAAUCAAAGAAGCAUUUUCAGCACUGCAGGGUUGA
rnacentral:rRNA from 1 species